rnacentral:lncRNA from 1 species
UGUUUUCCUCGUAGAUCCCUCUGUUAUCCCUUUCUAUCCUUCACGACACGGCUGAGGAUCAGGGUUUGGGGCUUUUGCGUGUGAGUGAUUGGAAGAUGGCUUUGAUUAUGAGGUUGGGGCUGGAGGUGAAGGAAGGGUUGUUGUUGUGGUGGCUUUCGAGAGGGAUGACGGAGAACUUGUUUCGGUGGAAGUGAUGAGGACGACACUUGUUGCAGUAGUGUGUUGACUGAUAAAGAUUUGUUUUUUUUUCUCUAUUGGUUGGGGCA